rnacentral:rRNA from 1 species
UACGAAGGGGGCUAGCGUUGCUCGGAAUCACUGGGCGUAAAGCGCACGUAGGCGGAUUGUUAAGUCAGGGGUGAAAUCCUGGAGCUCAACUCCAGAACUGCCUUUGAUACUGACGGUCUUGAGUUCGGGAGAGGUGAGUGGAACUGCGAGUGUAGAGGUGAAAUUCGUAGAUAUUCGCAAGAACACCGGUGGCGAAGGCGGCUCACUGGCCCGGUACUGACGCUGAGGUGCGAAAGCGUGGGGAGCAAACAGG